GUGCUUACUUCAGCAGUACAUAUACUAAAAUAGGAAUGAUAUAGAGAAGAUUAGCAUGUCCCUUGCUCAAGGAUAACAUGCAAAUUCAUGAAGCAUUCCAUAUUUUU